GAAUACUAACGGGAACGCCCACCGUGUGACGUCACUACCUUAUGUGACGGCGGGCCUCUGACGCUGAUAUCGGGCACAGCUUACUUCCGGUUUCUGCUCGCACUAACAAAAUGCCUGACGCGAAUUGUGUUUUGUUCGGAUGUUCCGCCUGCAAUAAAAGAAAUCGGGGUUGAUCAUUCUAUCGCUUACCCAAAAACAACAUAGAGUGGAGAGAGAAUCAUUACGUAUCAUACAGUCUACCAGAUCAGACCCGAUAAAUGACAAGACCUUGACAAUAUGUUCAAGACACGUUGAGCCGGAUUAUUUCGUUGAAAAAAUGUUUACAAAAAUUCUGGGUCCACAUAUCGAAGAUUAAAAGAAGGGUUAGGGAGACUAUCAACCUUAAUAAAAGAUCAGUAUAUGAACAUUUAAUUCAUCAAUAUUAAACAGACAUUAUGCAAGAGCUAAAUCUGUCAAUUGCAGGUCUUUCUUUAGGCCUGGAAUGUUAUCUAAAUUAUUAAUUAGACAUUAAUUAACUUAUCCAGACCAUAAUCAACGCUCGAUGGCAUCGCUAGCCUGUGAUAUAUACUGAAUUAGAGCCCAGUCUGCUACUUCUGAUUAAAUCAAAAAAUCGAUAAUCGAGACCAUGGGUUUUUUUUAUCGUACCGACUAUAGUAAUGCUGAUCGAGGCUAGGCCCAAAAUUUAAUCAUUAAAUACUUGGUUCAGGGUGGAUGAAUUUGACUGAAAUUUUCAGCAAAUUCCCUUUACAUUAUCUAUUUUUUAACUAUUAUAAUGAGAACUGCUAGCUCUUUCUGUAAUCUCCCAUAAUUUUAUUUAUAAAUACUUGUAUGAAUAUCCGAUUCUUCUUUAUAUUUACUUUUGUAAUUUUUUCGAUUUUAUUCAGAAACUGAGAAAAUUAUGAAUACAUGUAUCAGAAUCCAAUUCUUCUUGUUUUAAUUGAAUUUUAUGAAUUUGUCUAUUUUAUUCAGAGUCCAAGGAAAACCGAGGAAACUCAAUGUUUACAUAUGAACGAAGUAACCUUUCAGAUGUUGCAGAAAUCAUUUUUAUGUCAAAUGUCUGCUUUGUGGCUAUGUCAGUCUUCAAGUGAUUAUAUCUAUCUGUUUAAAACUGAAGAUAAAAGUGUAACAUACCAUUUAACCAUUGACAAGGACUUGAAUUGUGAAGUACAGUAUAAUAAUUUUUGUUUCCUGUUCAAAUUAAAGUUACAUCUAUAGAUUUACUUAUAAGAACUGUUGAGAAUAUGAAGAUAUGUGGGGGCAUAACAUCAAAACAUUUACAGUCUUAUUCUCAAUGUCAGCCUACAACUGUAAGAUAUAUCAGACAGGUUGAUAUUUUCAUGAACACAAAUAAGUCAACAUAGAAAUUACGAAAGCUGUGUACUUGCUUCUGUAUGUAAUAGUUUUGUUGAGGACACUCAAAAAGAAAUUUGUUUAAGUUGUCGACAGAUUAACAGAGAUUUACAGAGAAAGUAAAUAGUAAUAAUAAUAGUUUAUUUCACAUAUAUGGCUACAUAGCACAUUGCAUAUUCAGAUUUUGAUUGACAAUAUAUAAUUCAAAGAAUCAAUAUUUACAUACUUGUAAAUGUAAUUUACAAUUCAAAAAUAGCUUAGCAAUAAUAUAUAGUUGCCAUAUAAACGAGCAAACAGUGAUAGAAUAUAAUCAUGUGGUAUGAAUUUGAUUAAAAUGUAGAUUUCACUCCAUUUUGAUUUAUUUCUUCCAACUGACUCGACUCCACAUAGAUUUGAGGUCAAAUGAGAAGUUAUAGAGUUAAACUGUGAUCAGUGAUGUCAGGUAUUUUAUUUACAGCACUUUGCUGCAAGCAUUUCACACAUUUCACAGAUUUUUUAUUUCUUGUUAUUACUGUAUUGUAGUUAAUAAGUAAUGAAAAGAAAACAAGGCCCCAAGUUCACAAAGCAUUCUCAGUCUUAAGUUAAGGUUUUACUCAAAAUUGUUUGUCUUAUUUUAACUCAAAUAUAGCACUUUACUAACUAUUGUUGUUUUAAUGUAAAUAUAUCAAUAAGAAACUGUGCAAAGUUUUGUGUUUCUGGAUCAAAGAUAUUUCUCAAAAACAGUGAUUGAAGGUUGAGCAAAUUCUUAAGUCUGGGAAUGCUUUGUGAACUUGGGGCCAGGUUGAUAAUAGUAAACAAAAUAUAUCGAGACGCAAUGAAAUAGCACCUCUGAGAUGACGUGGCAUAACUUUGCACCUUCCACAAAACCUAGCUUUUUAAAAGCUGCAUUAUAUACCCCACGUGUGUACCAGAAAAAUCAACAUACUGAUUCUGUUGGGUUUAAUUUUUUUGAUUGAGAAUUGUUCGGGGUGCGUUUACGCAAUCUUCAAAACAUUCUCACAUGUUAUCAUCGUAAUAUGAUGUUGUUACAUCCUUAAUUGCAAGAUUAAAGCAAAUCUUUAAAACAAAAUUGAGCUGAAAAGUACUAAGUAGGGCGUUAAACCUGGAUUCAUUUCAAACAAGAUUUACAUUCAUCCAUUUAUAAAAGUGAUGUAUUAUUUUUAUUGCAUCUCAGUAUAAAAUAUUAACAAUGAUAACAAAAUUUAUAUAAAUUUUAUACAGGUGCACAACUUGUAAUGUGUGAGCUUUAUAAAUGUAUUAAAUUAUUCUUAAAUAUACAUUAUGUAAGAUUUUGAUAAAGAGCUAGCCAUUCUUGCUAUAAUAGUUCGAAGAUAAAAAAUGUAAAAUGA